GAUGAACGCUGGCGAUAGGCUUAACACAUGCAAGUCGAGGGGUAACGUGUUGGAAGCUUGCUUCCGAUGACGACGACCGGCGGAUGGGUGCGUAACGCGUAUGCAACUUGCCUCACAGUGGAGAAUAACCCGGAGAAAUCCGGACUAAUACUCCAUACACUCUUAAGUACGCCUGUACAUGAGAGGAAAGAUUUAUCGCUGUGAGAUAGGCAUGCGUCCUCUUAGGUAGUUGGUGAGGUAACGGCUCACCAAGCCGACGAUAGGUAGGGGUGCUGAGAGGCAGAUCCCCCACACUGGGACUGAGACACGGCCCAAACUCAUACGGGAGGCAGCAGUGAGGCAUAUUGGUCAAUGGAGGAAACUCUGAACCAGCCAAGUCGCGUGAAGGAAGAAUGUCCUAAGGAUUGUAAACUUCUUUAGCGAGCGAGUAAGGACUUCCACGUGAUGGGAGUUUGAAAGUAGCUCGAGAAUAAGUAUCGGCUAACUCCGUG
rnacentral:rRNA from 1 species